CGUUUGCUUACCCAAAAACGUUUGUUUCCUACCAAAAAUCACUUUCUUCUCUUGUGUGUCAUCUCUUCAUCUUCCUCAGCUCGCAGUUGCUUUAGCUUCGCAAGUGUUCCUCCCUGGCACCUCCGUGCAUGUGUUCAGUGAAGCAAUUUUUGCAUGAAGCAUCACCGUAUUCACACAGUGCAGAAGGUGAAAGGCAAGCGCAAUUUGAGAAUUUUGCAGCAGGACGAGCUGCCCGUGCACAGUAACAAAGAAUCGCAAAGCAAGAAGCAAACACAAAUAAAGGCAAAACCAACCAAGGAGCCCUCUUGUUUUUUGUAUCUCUAGGCCUAUCAGGAUGCUUCAUUACUUGUUAUGAUCGAAGAGUUCGCAACGAUUUGGCACAGCUUUGUCGAGAAAUCUGUCUUUGUUGCUGUCAUCCUGGCUUGUAGCAACACGUUCUUCAUCAAGCAUUGGUAAGGGAAAAACCAUGAUGGCACAGUAAAGUAUGGUUUCAGCCUAGUGAAGGAGAGUGUUAAUCAUUUCUCACACAGAAGAGCAAAUAAGAGAGCUUCAGAGAAGAAACAACAAACAGCAGAGAAGAGGAGACGAAGAACAUAUUAGAACAAAUGAUGAAGAUGAAGAUUUGGGAGUUAGGGUUUUAUAAUUGAGAAUGGACUAAUUUGAGGCUUUUAAACAAAAUUUAGACACUAAUUUGAGUUAAACGCUGCGAAUGACUUUUGCACUAAUGUGGAUUCACGUUUCUGAGAGUGGUGGAUCCAUUUGGUCAUUUUACAUGGUCGGAGACUUAAUUGAUGCGAGUUGGGAAUUUUAGGGACCAUUUGGAGCAUUAAUUCGAAUAGAAAAUUAAAAUACAUUGAAGUGUAAAUAAUGAUUGGUAGGUCCAGCUGAGAAAAGUGUUUUUGUUGUGUUCUGCACUUCUUUGUAUCUUAUAGUUGUGAUUGAGGUGAACUGGUAGUCUGGUAUGAAAUGUAUCCCAUCUAA